AGUCAGACGGCAGCACGGACUUCGGUCUGGUGGCGAGUGGCAUUGGUGAGUAAUGUAUCGGAACGUGCCUAGUAGCGGGGAUAACUACGCGAAAGCGUAGCUAAUACCGCAUACGCCCUUCGGGGGAAAGCGGGGGACCUUCGGGCCUCGCACUAUUGAAACGGCCGAUAUCGGGAUGUAGCUAGUUGGUGGGGUAACGGCUCACCAAGGCGACGAUCCGUAGCUGGUUUGAGAGGACGACCAGCCACACUGGGACUGAGACACGGCCCAGACUCCUACGGGAGGCAGCAGUGGGGAAUUUUGGACAAUGGGGAAACCUGAUCCAGCCAUCCCGCGUGUGCGAUGAAGGCCUUCGGGUUGUAAAGCACUUUUGGCAGGAAAGAAACGGCACGGGAUAAUACCCCGUGCAACUGACGGUACCUGCAGAAUAAGCACCGGCUAACUACGUGCCAGCAGCCGCGGUAAUACGUGAGUGCAAGCGUUAAUCGGAAUUACUGGGCGUAAAGCGUGCGCGGGCGGUUCGGAAAGAAAGAUGUGAAAUCCCAGGCUUAACUUUGGAACUGCAUUUUUAACUGCCGGUAGAGUAUGUCAGGGAGGUGGAAUUCCCGCGUGUAGCAGUGAAAUGCGUAGAUAUGCGGAGGAACACCGAUGGCGAAGGCAGCCUCCUGGGAUAACACUGACGCUCAUGCACGAAAGCGUGGGAGCAAACAGGAUAGAUACCCUGGUAGUCCACGCCUAAACGAUGUCAACUAGCUGUUGGGGCCUUCGGGCCUUGGUAGCGCAGCUAACGCGUGAAGUUGACCGCCUGGGGAGUACGGUCGCAAGAUUAAAACUCAAAGGAAUUGACGAGGACCCGCACAAGCGGUGGAUGAUGUGGAUUAAUUCGAUGCAACGCGAAAAACCUUACCUACCCUUGACAUGUCUGGAAUCCCGAAGAAGAGAUUUGGGAGUGCUCGCAAGAGAACCGGAACACAGGUGCUGCAUGGCUGUCGUCAGCUCGUGUCGUGAGAUGUUGGGUUAAGUCCCCGCAACGAGCGCAACCCUUGUCAUUAGUUGCUACGAAAGGGCACUCUAAUGAGACUGCCGGUGACAAACCGGAGGAAGGUGGGGAUGACGUCAAGUCCUCAUGGCCCUUAUGGGUAGGGCUUCACACGUCAUACAAUGGUCGGGACAGGGGGGUCGCCAACCCGCGAGGGGGAGCCAAUCCCAGAAACCCGAUCGUAGUCCGGAUCGCAGUCUGCAACUCGACUGCGUGAAGUCGGAAUCGCUAGUAAUCGCGGAUCAGCAUGUCGCGGUGAAUACGUUCCCGGGUCUUGUACACACCGCCCGUCACACCAUGGGAGUGGGUUUUACCAGAAGUAGUUAGCCUAACCGUAAGGAGGGCGAUUACCACGGUAGGAUUCCUGACUGGGGUGAAGUCGUAACAAGGUAG
rnacentral:rRNA from 1 species